AGAAAAUAUAAAUUCAAGGCGAGGGAUUACAAUAGAAAUUGAAGAAAUCGAUUGAAUUCAACCGGUGUAGAUGUGGACGCCGAUGGCGACAAGGAAGAUGAUGAGUAGGCUGAAAUAGAUGAUUGCGUGAACCAGAAUGGAGGCGCCGCUGGUCUGCAUGUUCCCGAACUCCACCACCCUCGACCGCCCAGGGCUUUGACGUGAAUGAUAAUACAGAACCGCAGGGACGACGGCCCCUUUCAGAUGAGUCCCGUCCUCACCAGCGCCCAUUACUCUCCGAAGAGUCUCAACUCAAUAUAUUUCCCAUUUUUUUCAGAUUCAAUGAUGAGUGCGAAGCUGUUGCUGAGUCUUAAAUUUGGAUUCGUUAUAUUGCUCUUUUUCUGGGCACACCGUUUUGUCUUCUGCUGAUCUCUUCGUCAGUUUUCGAGCCGAUCGGAUAAAGGGAUAAAGAGGGAUAUGAUUUGCCCAUAAUGUUCUUACGCAUCUUCGAUUGUUUCCUUUGUGGGUUGCGAAAGAUUCAUCUGACUCGUCAAUUAAUCGCCAUCUUCUUCGAGAAGGGGAUUUUGGAAGCUUUGAUUGAACGGGGAGAUGGGUUGUUUCUCGUGUUACGAUUCGAGGGAAGAGGAUCAGCUGAAGUCUAGCCCUCGGUUCCUUCUAACAUCUCCAAAUUGUCAAGAAAAUGUUUCUCUGCUGCUUAAUCUGAUUUGGGUUUUAUUGGAUUUAUAUGCGUUUUAAAAAAUUUAAAAUAAAUAAAUCAUACUUAUUAAAUGAGUAA